GGGGCGCCGAGAUGGGAGACUCUGCCUCUCCGUGUUCACAGCGGACCUUGAUUUAAUGUCAUACAAUUAAGGCACGCGGUGAAUGCCAAGAGCGGAGCCUGGUAUCGCCGCGAGGAUC
rnacentral:pre_miRNA from 13 species